CUCUGUAAAAUGCCCUAUUGUUUAACUUUCCAUUAUAUGAAAACUGCCAAGUAAUCAAUCAGUUCCAUUUUUCUUUCCUGGGCCUUCUGACCUUUAGCUAAUGAUCAGUGCUCUCUAGGCCUUCUACCUAGCUCUGGUCCCGAGAGUCCCUCUGCCAGCAUACCAAGAACUCUCUUCAGCCCCUUUUGUGUUGGAUACCACUUAUUCCAUUUUCCUAUUUACUCUCUUGUGUUAGUGAAGCAUAUCUUCCAGGAGUUUCCUGAGGUACAUUUCUUGAGACCUUGAAAUUUUCUUUAUUACUUUCACAUUUGAUUGAUGGAUUGAUAAGGUAUAAAAUCUUAGGUUGGAAAUUGUUCUUUAGAUUUUGAAGGUAUUGCUUCACCGUCUUCUAGCUUUCUAAGUUGCUACUGAGAUAUGUGAUGGCAUCAAAAUGCCAAAUUCCAAAUUUUUGGUAUAUGGCUCCUCCUUUUUUUCUCUCUCUGGAAACUGUUAGGAACUUCUUUUCAUCCUUGGUGUAGUAAAAUUUCAAAACAAUAUGCCUUGGUUUGGGUCAUUUUUCAAGUGGGCUUUUUUUUUAUUGGAGUAUAAUUAAUGUACAGUGUUAUCUUUAUUUCAGGUGUAUAAUAUAAUGAUUCAACAAUUCUAUACAUUAUUCAGUGCUCAUCAAGAUAAGUGAACCCUUAAUCACCUUUAUCUAUUUCACACCCUGCCCUCUGGGAAACCACCAGUUUGUUCUCUGUAUUUAAGAGUCUGUUGUUUUGUUUGUCUGUUUUGUCUUUUUUGUUCAUUUGUUUUGUUUCUUAAAUUCCACAUAUGAGUGAAAUCAUGGUUUUUGUCUUUCUCUGACUUAUUUCACUUAUUAUAAUACCCUCUAGGUCCAUCCAUGUUAUCGCAAAUGGCAAGAUCUCAUUCUUUUUUAUGGCUGGGUAAUAUUCCAGUGUGUGUGUGUGUGUGUGUGUGUGUGUGUGUGUGUGUGUGUAUUUACGCAUUCAUCUAUGGAUGGACACUUGGGUUGCUUCCAUAUAUUGCCUAGUGUAAAUUAUGCUGCAAUAAACAUAUGGGCGCAUAUGAAACAUAUAUCAUUUCAAAACAGUGUUUUCAUUUUCUUUGGGCAAAUACCCAGCAGUAAAAUUACUAGAUUAUAUGGUAAUUCUAUUUUUAAUUUUUUGAGGAAACUCCAUACUGUUUUCCACAGUAACUGCACCAAUUUACAUUCCCACCAACAGUGCAUGUGGGUUCCUUCUACUCCACAUCCUUACUAACACUUGUUAUUGCUUGUCUUCCUGAUUUCAGACAUUCUGACAGGCAUAAGAUGAUAUCUGAUUGUGGCUUUGAUUUGCAUUUCCCUGAUUAGUGAUGUUGAGCAUCUUUUCAUGGGUCUGUUGGCCAUCUCUAUGUUUUCUUUGGACAAAUGUCUAUUCAGGUUCUCUGCCCAUUUUUAAUCAGAUUUUUUUGUUUGUUUUUGUUUUUGGUAUUGUGUUUUAUAAGGUCUUCAUAUAUUUUGGAUAUUAACCCCUUAUCAGAUAUAUCAUUUGCAAAUAUUUUCUCCCAUUCAGGAGAUUGCCAUUUUGUUUUGUUGAUGGUUUCCUUCCCUGUGCAUAAGCUUUAUUUAGCUUUACUCCCAUUAGUUUAUUUUUCCUAUUGUUUUCCUUGCCUAAUGAAACAUAUCUAGAAGAAUGUUUCUAUGACUAAUGUCAAAGAGAUUAUUGCCUAUGUUAUGAUAGGCAUAAUCUAUGAUAAUAGAUUAGGUUUUUAAUCUAUUUUGAGUUUAUUUUUACAUGUGGUGUAAGAAAGUGGUCCAGUUUCAUUUUUUUGCAUGUAGCUGUCCAGUAUUCCCUACCGCAUUUAUUGAAGAGGUUGUUUUUCCCCAUUGUAUAUUCUUGCCUCUUGUUGUAGUACAAUUGACCAUUCAAAUGUGGGUUUAUUUCUAGGCUCUCUUUCUGUUCCAUUGAUCUAUGUGCCUAUUUCUGUGCCAGCACCAUACUGUUUUGAUUGCUAUAGCUUUGUAGUAGUGGGCUUUUUAAAUCAAGAGAAAUGGAUUCUUCAUUAUUGACACAUUUUCUUCUAUUAGGUUUUUUAUAUUUUCCUUUCCACUAUUUUAUCUGUUUUCUCUUUCUAGUUCUAUUCUUGAGGUAUUGGGUUUCACAAACUGAAUCUUUAAUAUUUUUUUAAAAAAUGCUUAUAUCAGUUUCUAUUUCUUUGUCUUUUUUUCUUGCAUUUUCUCAGGUGAUGUCCUAUACGUCAUCUUUAAGAUUUUCUUCUUUUUCUUUUUUAAAUUUAUUUAUUUAUUUUGAGAGAGGGAAAGAGUGAGCAGGGGAGGGGCAGAGAGAGAGAGAGAGAGAGAGAGAGAGAGAGAGAGAGAGAAUCCCAAGAAGGUUCCACCCUCUCAGCCUGGAGCCCCAUGUGGGGCUUGAUAUAAUGAGGUGUGAGAUCAUGACCUGAGCUUAAAUUAAGAGUCAGAGACUUAAUGGACUGAGCCACCCAAAUGCCUCUGUUGUUGUUGUUGUUGUUGUUGUUGUUGUUGUUAUUGUUUUACGGGUUAACAUAUUUUUAGUUUCCAAGAAGUUACUUCUUGUUCUUUGUUGGUUCUUUUUUUUUUUCCUUUUUCAUUCUAUCCUUGUUUUAUUCACUAAAGAGUGAAUGACUAAAAAGCUGAUUGGAAGUACUGAAUGAAAGACUUGAACACUGGUGGGCUUCACUAGUGACUGAGUGAUCAGGUGGCUAGCUCCCCCCACUUUUUUUUAAAUUACAGCUACAGUAUCUGUAGUUAUUUUCUCUGGGGACAGUUGAUUCUAAAAAGAAAUAUUUUUUUUUAUUUCUUUGACAACAUAAUUCUAGCUUCCAAAUUUCUGGAAUUAAGGGCAAAUGGGGGUGAGGGGGAAGAGAUCCAUUAUUCAGUGUGCAGAUUCUGAGUUCUUGUUUUCAAUAUGGCACAUCACCCUUACCCUCCUCUGUGAACAGUAUCCCUGUAUUUUGAGCAUCUCUGGCUCAGUUUCUUCAUAGAAUAAACUUCUAGUCUCUCGCAGGAGUCAGGGAGUCUACUCAAGAUAAGGGUAGGAAUCUGGGUCUCUAAAUAAUAUUUUUAAUUAAAGAUGAUUUCAGCUCCUCCUUAUCCCCUUCCUCUGAGGUUUCUGGUAUCCUACAUUCUUGAAAUAUUCUGGGAUCCUGUGAGAGCAAAUUGACUUGCUUCCUGAUAGUCACUCCCUAUCCUCAUGCUUUUAAGUUUGAUCCUCCUCUUUUCUACUCAAUCCUUUACUAUUUUUCUUUAAUCUGCUUUCUGCCUUCAUAUAUAGUAGUCCAAGUUACAGAAUCUUGAACACAGGUUCAUCACAGAUGGACUAUGAUUCUUCUGGUUUUUGUUCUCCUUGUUAUUUGGAAGUCUGAUCUUUCUUGGGGAGAAGGGGGUUGAAAUACUUCUAUACACUCUCUUGGCCUGGGAAAUCCUCCACUGAAAAAUGAUUUUUUAAAAUUGUGUUUGCAGACUAUAUAGUUCCUCAAGUUCCUUUUCUUUUAAAACAAGGAUUACAUAAAUUACUCAUCAAAGGCGUUAGUGAAUUACAUUGUAUAAUUGCAUGUGCAUCUAAUUGUACACUAACAUAUAUAACUAGAAAUGAGCUUGUAAUUAAGCACUCAGCACUGAUAAAUCCUAAACUAUAAUAUUAAAAUUGUUAUGGGUAUGAUAGAUAAACUGUUUUGAGAUAUAGAUAUAUAUAUUGGCAAUAUAGAAAAUAUUCACCAAUACUCUUAGAAAAAGUAUCUAUCACUUGGUUCAGAAGACUCUGUUACUAUUGGAAUUAGUCAGUUAAAACAUUUUGGUGGGAAAGUUAGCACUGACACAGUUUUUGUUUUUUAAUGCAGUGUGUUUUUCCAUAGUCAUGGUCCUUUCUGUAAUACUGUUUGAGAGCAUGCAUAUUAAUACACAUGGUAAAUUAGGUCUUAAAAAGCAUAAUCUUGUAAAGUAAGUUUUCACAAUAAUGCAGAUUAUUUAUCCUGCAUCAAACAAAAAGGCAAUAAUAAGCAUCUUAAAAAAAAAGCCUUGAGGUACCUAUAUGGCUAUUGAUUGAGUGCCUGACUCUUGAUUUCGGCUCAGGUCAAGAUCUCACAGUUGGUUGGAUUGAGCCCUGUGACGGCUCUGUGCUGACAGCACGGAGCCUGCUUGGGAUUCUCUGUCUCCCUAUCGCUCUCUCUCUGACCCUCCCCUAUGCACGUGUACACGCAUGCUCUCUCUUUCAAAAUAAAUAAAUAAACUUUUUUUUAAACCUUUAAAAGGUCUGCUUUUGAAGCAAUUUUUGUAAGUUUCCCUUUAAGGGAUGGUAAUCAAUACAUAUCUUAGUUUGGGUUGUUAUGGAAAAAAAAAAUCACCCUACAGUGGGUAGCUUAAACAGCAAACAUUUAUCUCUCACAGCUCUGGAGGUUGAGAAGUCCAAGAUCAGGGUGCUGGCAGAUCUAAUGUCUGGUGAGGGGUCCCUUCUUGGUUUGCAGGUAGAGAGCUGGAGAGGAAGAAAACUCUCUUUUCUCAGGGGGUACUAAUUCCAUUCAAGAGGUCUCCACCUUUAUGACCUAAUUACCUCCCAAAGGCCCACCUCCUAAUACCAUCACGUUAAAGGUUAGGAAUUUAACAUAUGAAGCUUGGAGGGAGGCAAACAUUCAACCCUUAACACAUACUUAAUUCAGGGUCAUACAGCUGGAUAUAUUGAAACCAGGAGGAAAAAAUACCUUCUUGGAUGUUUCUUAUUUUUGAAAAGACUUUUAUAUAUUCCUCAGGAUACCAAUAUUCAUUAUAAUCAAAAUCAGAAUAAGCCAAUCAAAAGGUAUUUCUCUAAUAAUCAAAUACUUUUUUUGAAAGAAAAAAAAUAUUUUAUAUGUACAGAAUUCUUUUAGAUGCCUUGCAGUAAUCCUUAAGGACCUAUUAGCCUCUCUUGGCUAAAUAAGCUAUCUAUCUGUAAAAAUAUUAAACACAAAUAUUUAUUCUUCAAUCUUUACUGCUUACAUUAUUAUAAAUAUAAAAAUGACACAUUAAAUUUGAGGUAUUUUGAAAAUAUGGAAAAUAAUAAAGAAAAAAAUGUUACCACGUAGCAUAUAGAGAUAGCUACCUUUAAAAAAUCCAUAUUAGCAUAUUCUUCCCGUCCUUUUUUUCUUUUUUAAGGUGUUUCUUUUAAGUUUUUUUCCUUAUUUUGAGAGAGAGAGAGAGAGAGCGAGCAUGGGAGGGGCAGAGAGAGACAGAGAGAGAGAGAGAAUCCCAACAGGCUCUUCACUGUCAGUGCUGAGCCUGAUGUAGGGCUUAAACCCACAUACUGUGAUAUCAUGACCUGAGCCAAAAUCAAGAGUCAGACGCUUAACCAACUGAGCCACCCAGGGGUCCCACCUCCCAUCCUUUUUUAAAUCAGUUUUUACAUGGUUAAGAUCAUACUGCACAGAGUAAGAUGAGGCCCAAUUUAUUGAGUACUCCUAAAUGGCAGACAACCUGCUAAGUGCUUCACAUACAUUGUAUCAAUAUCCUAUGAGCCAGAUAUUUUAUGCCUAAUAUAUGGAAAAUAUGAGGAUAUAUGGAAAAACUGAAGAUUAGUGAGUUUAAAUAAGUUGCCUGGGGCCAUCCAGCCAGUAAGCAGCCAAGCUGAGAUUUUAGCACAAGCUUGGCCAGUAUCAAAAUCCAUACUCUUUACCAUUAUGUUUAUUUUCUUUGUUUACCACUAUAACUAAUUUUUAUGUCAUUAACAAAUCAUUGCAAAUAUCAUGUAAAGUAAAAAUGUAAAGCUCCUGUAUGAUUAGGCUUAUCUCGCUGAAGCCCUGCAGUCAAUGAGCAAUCAUAUUUUUCAAAAAUCUUUACAAAUAUUAAGAGCAAGAAUGGAACAUCGUUGCUGUUCAAGUUAAAAUGUAUUGAGACUUUAAAUGUUUUUAUAAGCUUAUCAGGCAUUUGUAUUUCUAAGGAUUAUAUAUUUCUCAAAUAAGUACAGUGUGAGCCAGAAAUUACAAAAUGACCCUUUGGAACAAAUAACAUUACCUCAUUGAUUCUGGUUAUGUUGGGCAGGUACAGUAGGUGGAAGAUACACACACACACACACACACACACACACACACACAUAUGAUUUGUUUAAAGUUCCUAAACAUAGCUGGUUCCAAGACUUUAAGAUUCUCUCCUUAAAAUCUAGUUUACAUCAUUAUUUUUACAUCUAAAGAAAAAUGGUAAAAGGAAAAGGUAUUUACUAAGCAAAGACAAAUGCUAACUAAACCCUUAUUGAAAAUAUCACCAGAUCAUGGAUUAAUGCAGUUUUAAUGCAUUUCCAAUACCUAGUUAUUCUGAUUUCCUCUCUGGCUACACUAUUUUCACUGUAAUCUAUUUAAGAGUUGGAGCCACUGAUGCAUUCAGUUUGAUUUAUCUAGUGACAAUACCUCAAUUAUCCUCCUGGGGAAAAUUAUUUUCUUGUGAGUAAAUCUAAUUUUGGUUUAAAUCUUCCAAGUAAUUUUAAUAAUUUUCUAUAUAUUUUGACAAAAGUAAUUACGAAAGAAAAAGGCCAUUAUGACUAUAUUAUUAUGAAAUAUAGAGAAAAUAUCACAUCAAAAAAGACAUAAACAUUUUCAGUUGGUGUUAGUGAAUUAUGACCUUGCAAGUUACAAGAAUAUGCCAGAAUGUUUUAGCACCCAUAAGCCACAGAAGGCUAAAGAGACAUGUGGCUGAUAAGAUGCGAAUUUUGUAAUUUGAGAGUUGAGUAAAUGGGUAGCAAUAUCUUGCCACCUUAAAUAUUCUGCCUGGUGUACUGGUAACAUGGGCAUUGGCUUAAUGGCUCAUUUUGUGGGAGAAUUUUUAACCUUUACAUCAACAUUUAUGUAAAAUUUAGGUUGCACAGAAAUAUAUAAUCAAUUUGAAUUUGCUGUUUCGGAUAUCUGCAUUUUUCUGGAUUUCCUUAUUAAUAGCUUACUUCUCUUUCUAUAGGCUUGGCUUGACAUAACCAAUCUGGAUCAUGUCUACAAAGGAAACAAACUGCAUACAUUUUUGCUGCAAAAGAUAACAAACCCCACAAAUUUUCAGUAGUGGAUAUCUAAGAAAUGAACCUCACUGGACAAAAAUUAUAAGAACUACGAAAGUCUGAGUUUCUGAAAUUGAAGAAGAGUUCCAGCUAGACCUUCCUAUUGUAAUCUGCAGUAAGAAGCACCCUCAUGGACAAUGAUGAUAAGAAUAUGGGGAGAAAAGCAUUUGAUGGAUGAGUGUGAUUUUUACCUGGCAUGAUGGCAGCAUGUGAGCAAGGACAAUGCCAACAUGGCCCUGGAGAAGGCAGAAAAAGAAACAAGUUAACUCAGGUCCUUAAUGCUUUCUUCUCAUUCUGAGACAGCAGUCUUGCCAAAUAAAAACAUGACUCUGAAUGUAAUACAGUAAAGUCACAUAGUCGGGGGAAGGCUAAAGAGAAUAAGAGGAGAGACAUAAUACCCCGCCGCUGCAGAAAUCCACAAUUCUGUCACCGGGUUUGGCCUGACUUGUCACCACAUAAACAAGGUUGUUUAACUGCUGUUGCUUCCUUAAAGCUCGAUCACUGGACAUUUUGCCUGGGGAAGACAAGAAGUGAAGACAAUGAAAUGGUAGGCAUUGUGAGAGCGUGAGAAGGCACUCAGAGAAUGGAUGGCCGGCGUCCAGGAAGAGGGGUGAAUAUAUAAAUGAGUUACAAAUUCCACAUAAUCCAUGAGGAGAGGACCAGAGACCUGGAACCCAGAAAUGAAAUCUCUCUAUGCAUAUUUUUACUUUUAUUCACAUCCAAUUUUUCUUUCGAUUGUCAUUGAAAAAACAUCUUCUAGAGAGGAAACAAUAAGUGAAAUAUUAAUCGCAGAGUCAUACACAAAGUGCUGAGUAAAUGUUUACUGGAUGAAUAAAAGUUAACAGUCACAGUCCCUUCCCUCUAUCCCUACCAGAGACAUAUUGCAAAGAUUACCUAAUUCUAGCUCAUUGUUUAAAUCUCCUUGGACAAAAGAGAUCUAUAAUAAAUAAAAACAUUCUUACUAUUUAAUCAGCAUGUCCUUGAACUCUUAGUUAUUUUGGUGAGGAUACUUGGGACAUAGGUGUCACAUUGUCGGAAAUGUAUCAAUGCUUAGUGUAUUUAGAGAGAAAUUAGAUUUUACCAUUUCAGCUUUGAAGCUUCCUUUCCUCAUGAGUCAGACACAGAAAUCUAAUGCAAUAGAGAUUAAAGAUAGGGCAUUUCCAAGUAUGAAAUGCCUUGGGCCUAACAGCAUGAAAAUAUCUUAACUUUCCUUCAAAGCUACUAGUUAAGUCCAUGAAAAUAACUUCAGAAGAAUGAAUGAAAUUAUUUGUUUUUACAUGUUUCAAAUGCACUUUUUGUAAGAGCAAGAUUAAGAAAAUAUAGAGAGCAGAUUUCAUUGAUAUAGAUAAAAGGAAAAACCCAGAUAAUCUUUUGGCUUGAUCAAAAGUUAUUUACAGAUACCAAGGUUUCCCUGCUCCAUUUUCACAGAAAAAUAGCCUGGCUUUUUUUUCUUUUAUUCUCUUUUCUGUUUUCCUUCUUUCUUAUGUUACUAAAAUAAAAAUACUGGAAAAUCUUUAUUCUAGGAAAAAAUAAAAAAUAUAUGAAAAAAUAUCUGUAUGAGAGAAAAGAUCCAUAAUCUAAUAAUUCAGAGCCAAUAUCUUUGUAUACACAUACUUCCAGGUGUGUCUAGAAAUUCAUAAUAUUGAAGAUAGUAUAUAAAACAUUAUAACUCUUUCCAUGUCAGUGCAUUUAUUUCUGUACCAUAAGUUUUAAUGGCUGCAUAGUAUUUCAUGGACUAUAUAUGCCAUACUUAUAUAACCAAUCUCCUAUUGUAAUAAUGUGAUCAUCAUCAUACAGCUAAAUCACUGUACACAUUCUUAAUUGUUUAGUGCACCCUAAUGUGAAUUUCAAACAUAAAGGGCCUUUAAGCCAA